AUUUUAUGGAAUACUCAAAAAAGACAAGUGUUCAUUCACAGGACAGAAAUGGUACAGAAGAGACCUUCAGGAUCUCUCUAAAGAACUUUAGUUUUGAUUGUGAUGCAUAAGCCCCAUUCUAGUAUGCUCACCUCAAAAAAAUUCCAUGAACAAAGCAGAAUUGCAAUAGCAUGAAGGAAAUGUGAGUUAUGCAGAAUCUAAAAACAUCUGCAUCAGAGAUAGUUCCAGAGAGGCCUGAGGAGACUUACAUGGAGACUGAUGGAUCUUUUCAGUUGUGAUGUAUAAGACCUUGAGAAAUUGACUACUGCCUGCUGAGCAUUGUUAAGCCUGAGAAUUCAACAAGAAAGGAGAUCCAAGGCUACUCCAACAAACAUAUCUCCAUUGAAUUUUAGCUUCACCUGAUGGCAUUUUAAAGCAUAAACCUAACCAGAAAGCAGGCAUUGUUUUUCUGAAUAUUGUCCUCCCUGCUCCUAUAUUCAGCAUGUCACUCCUUGUAUAAAGAUUAAUUAAAAAGAAGAAGAAAUGGCAACACUAGCCAACAUGUCAACUGUAUUUAAAUAUGUUGGCAAUGAUGAAUAGUGAAGUUUCAUAAGAGGAUAGACUACCAAAAAGAAUAACUUCUUAACAAAGCAUGCUGACUCAACAAUUUCAACACAGAGUUUGCUAGCUUUCCUCUCUUCUGUUGAAGGUUACAGGAUGAGAUGUGCAUUGUCAAACACUUGUCAAACCCAGAAGUAAAUAUAGUUCACUGUUGUGAUUUAUGUGGUUUAAGAUCUGUAAAUAUAUAAAGACCAUGUAAAUUACUGAUCAUCAUGCUAGCUAUGUAUAUGAUGCCAUUUCAUUAAAUUAAUAGGACUUAAAA